rnacentral:rRNA from 1 species
GACGAACGCUGGCGGCGUGCUUAACACAUGCAAGUCGAACGAAGUGGCGAACGGGUGAGUAACGCGUAAUCAACCUGCCCUUCAGAGGGGGACAACAGUUGGAAACGACUGCUAAUACCGCAUACUGUAGGAGGGGAUUGCGUCUGAUUAGCUAGUUGGAGGGGUAACGGCCCACCAAGGCGAUGAUCAGUAGCCGGUCUGAGAGGAUGAACGGCCACAUUGGGACUGAGACACGGCCCAGACUCCUACGGGAGGCAGCAGUGGGGAAUCUUCCGAAAUGGACGAAAGUCUGACGGAGCAACGCCGCGUGAGUGAAGACGGCCUUCGGGUUGUAAAGCUCUGUGAUCCGGGACGCGGUACCGGAAAAGCAAGCCACGGCUAACUACGUGCCAGCAGCCGCGGUAAUAC